rnacentral:rRNA from 1 species
CUACGGGCUGCUCCAGUGAGGAAUAUUGCACAAUGGGGGGAACCCUGAUGCAGCAACGCCGCGUGGAGGAUGACGCAUUUCGGUGUGUAAACUCCUUUAUAUGUCAAGAAAAUGACGGUAGCAUAUGAAUAAGCACCGGCUAACUCCGUGCCAGCAGCCGCGGUAAUACGGAGAGUGCAAGCGUUACUCGGAAUCACUGGGCGUAAAGGACGCGUAGGCGGGUUGGAAAGUCAGGUGUGAAAUCCUACAGCUUAACUGUAGAACUGCACUUGAAACAUCUAAUCUAGAGUAUGGGAGGGGGAGAUGGAAUUAGUGGUGUAGGGGUAAAAUCCGUAGAUAUCACUAGGAAUACCUAAAGCGAAGGCGAUCUCCUGGAACAUUACUGACGCUAAGGCGUGAAAGCGUGGGGAGCAAACAGGAUUAGAUACCCCGGUAGUC